ACGGGUUAAGCAAGGGGAAAGGAGAGCGAACAUGGGGCUGACACCUUCUUGGUGGAACUCAACACCACUCUUACACCUAUCCACUUCCACAGCAUUCUUCAAUGGAAAUAGGCAAAGUUUUGGGAUCCAAUCAAAAUUUGCCUAAUGGUUCGUCCUCCUGAGUACCUUCUAGAUUUUUCAUUGUGCUGACAACAUCUAUCAUGCCCUCAACUUACAUUUGACUUGUGGCGUUACAAAAGUGAAGCUAUUUAAGGUUGUCAGAGGUUUGGGCUUGUUGGGAUGAAAAUGACCUGUCAAAAAGUCAGUUCCCCUCUGCCUGCAUCUAAGUGGUGUAUUCAACCACAUUAAACUUGCUUCUUCAGGUAACGCCAUGUGCUGCUGCUUAUUUAAUGAAUUGGGUAGGUGUGGAUCCAAUUGUAGAGUUGUGACACAGACUUAUUCAAUGUUUGCUUGCACUAA